UUUUCAUUUUGCCCCCAAAAGCAUUCUCUCCAAACUCUUCCGCCGAAUACUCUGCAAAUAUCAUCUCUCACCGAUUAAUCUUCUCCGCCGAAUACUCUGCAAAUAUCAUCUCUCACCGAUUAAUCUUCUCCUCCGAAUCCACUCACGCCGUCGAACCUACUCACACCGUCAAACCCAGCCACGCUCUCUUCUUCGUUCAUCGGCCACGGUUCAUCGAUUCAGAGUUGAAGUCUUUGCCCGAUUCUUCAAAGAAAUAUAUUGGCGAUCAUGAGAUUCAAGAAAGGGACUAAGGUGGAAGUGUUAAGCAAAGAUGAAGUGCCUUCUGGAUCCUGGCUAUGUGCAGAGAUUAUUCGUGGUAAGGGCCACCAUUACACUGUUAAGUAUGAGGGGUUUGAAGGUGCUACUGGUGAGACAAUCGUGAGGAGAGUUUCGAGGAAAUCUGUAAGACCGUGUCCGCCUGCAUUUGAACUCGUGGAGAACUAGACUCCAGGUGAAGUUGUAGAAGUGUAUCAGAAUUUUUCUUGGAAGAUGGCUACUGUUUUGAAGGUAUGUUCAGAACAAUAUGUUAUCUUGAACUGUACCGUCUGAACUUUAGAGCAGAAAUUUGGUUUUAAAGUACUCCGGAAACUACGAUCUUCAUAAAGGAAGCCAAAAAAAGGACCAAAUUGUAUGUGAUUAUUGGUUCAGCAGCUGGCGCCGCCAUUUUACUUUUAGCUACUAUCGUUUAUUGCUUGUUUAUGGACAAAGGAAUUUCACAGGUUUUGCAUGGAAGCUUAUUAAAUUGCUUAUAGCUUAUUCAAAAGCAAUUUGAUUUGAUUUGAUCUGUUGUUAUAUAAGUAGUUUUUACAUAAGGACUUAUACAUAGAAUGUAGAAAAUUUGUCGAAUUGAGUGAUGUGGUGUUAGAGAAACAUUUCAGACUCAUCAUCAUACUAACAAAUGUUGUAACCAAAUAUUUUGAAGGAGUUGGGGAAUUAUUUCUCUAACCGUGGCGUAUUGUUGGCAACUUUACACCUUAUGGAUUUUGGUUCAGUUGCAUGAAGCAGUCCCUGGUAAAAGGUACAAUAGAUAUGUGGAGCUAGCACAAGCAGCAUUUGGGGAAAGAUUAGGAGUAUGGCUUGCACUUUUUCUACCUUUCAUUGAAGAACUUCGAUCUUCACUGUUUUUGUAGGAAUUUCUAACUUCACUAAUUUUAACAAUGUAGUUUGCAAAAGAAAACCCUAUCAACCAAGUUUCACCCAAAGUCAAAGUCAAAAUAUUGAUGAUAUAACAGAAGAGGCUAUCACAACAACAUUAAGAAGGAGAUUAUGGACACUGGCCAGGAGAUUCUGGAGGUCCCAUGUUUCUUAUGUCUAGAUUGGUUAUUACUCUCUCUGUCACCGAGGCUUUGAAUGCAGUCUUAACCGAUGAGCAUAAAAAGUAAAUGCGUUGGUACCUCUAUAAUCAUCAAAUUUUGCUUAGAAAGUAUGACAAUUUGUUUUGAGAUUUAGAUUGAAGUACUCUUAGCUAGAACGCAUGCAUCUACAAAUUUAGCUAUGUAAAUGCCCUAUUUUUUUAGUACACUAGA